rnacentral:rRNA from 1 species
UACGUAGGGUGCGAGCGUUGUCCGGAAUUAUUGGGCGUAAAGAGCUUGUAGGCGGUUUGUCGCGUCUGCUGUGAAAUUUCGGGGCUCAACCCCGAACUUGCAGUGGGUACGGGCAGACUAGAGUGUGGUAGGGGAGACUGGAAUUCCUGGUGUAGCGGUGAAAUGCGCAGAUAUCAGGAGGAACACCGGUGGCGAAGGCGGGUCUCUGGGCCGUUACUGACGCUGAGGAGCGAAAGCGUGGGGAGCGAACAGG